UACGGAAGGCAGCAGUGGGGAAUAUUGCACAAUGGGCGAAAGCCUGAUGCAGCUAUGCCGCGUGUAUGAAGAAGGCCUUAGGGUUGUAAAGUACUUUCAUCGGGGAGGAAAAAACAAAACUAAUAAUUUUAUUUCUUGACGUUACCCGAAAAAGAAGCACCGGCUAACUCCGUGCCAGCAGCCGCGGUAAUACGGAGGGUGCUAGCGUUAAUCAGAAUUACUGGGCGUAAAGAGCACGUAGGUGGUUUUUUUAAGUUCAGAUGUGAAAUCCCUGGGCUUAACCUAGGAACUGCAUUUUGAAACUGAAAUACUAGAGUAUCGUAGAGGGAGGUAGAAUUCUAGGUGUAGCGGUGAAAUGCGUAGAUAUCUGGAGGAAUACCUGUGGCGAAAGCGGCCUCCUAAACGAAUACUGACACUGAGGGUGCGAAAGCGUGGGGAGCAAAACAGGGAUUAGAUACC
rnacentral:rRNA from 1 species